rnacentral:rRNA from 7 species
UUGACCUCGAAUCAGGUAGGAAUACCCGCUGAACUUAAGCAUAUCAA